UACGUAGGGUGCAAGCGUUAUCCGGAUUUAUUGGGCGUAAAGAGUUCCGUCGGCGUCCUUGUAAGUCACUUGUCUAAGCCCAGGGCUCAACUCUGGAUCGGCAAGCGAAACUACAAGGAUUGAGUCUGUUCGGGGAAACUAGAAUUCUCGGUGGAGGGGUGAAAUCCGUAGAUAUCGAGAGGAAUACCAGUCGCGAAGGCGGGUUUCUAGAACAGUACUGACGCUCAGGGACGAAAGCUUGGGUAGCAAAAGGG
rnacentral:misc_RNA from 1 species